AUGGCUUCAAAUGAACCUUCUUAUUGGACACUGAGAAGAAAAGCAAAGGACAAGGUGGAUCAACAACUGCAGACAAUACAGGCAACAACUUGUGGGAAGGAAUUGGGUUUGAUGCACAGUAACACCUGUCAAGGUCAAAAUGAUGAUGAUGAAGAAACAUUUAUGGACUGUCUCUCUCAUGUUGAUGAGACUGAAGAUAGAAGUGUUCCUGAUGACAGUGAAUCAGACACAGAAUCAGAAUCAGAAUCUGAUCCAAAUUCCCUAGAAGAUGAUUUGGCAUCCUGGGCUACUGAACACAAAAUUACACAUGUGGCAUUGAAUUCACUGCUCAACAUUCUACAGCUACACAGUUUAAAUCUGCCAAAAGACUCGAGGACACUGCUAGGGACUGUGCGUUUGAACCCUAAAAUACAAGACAAGGCUGGUGGCCAGUAUUACCAUUUUGGAGUGCUGAAUUCAAUUGCAGAGGUGCUACAUCAGAAUGUUGACAUUCUGCGCAACAUUCACACGUUGGAGCUUCAGGUCAGCAUUGAUGGUUUGCCCCUCUAUAAGAGCUCCGCAACACAGUUCUGGCCCAUCCUAGGGACACUGCAAAACAUCAAACAAGAGGAACCAGUGACAAUAGGUUUAUUUUGUGGCACAAGUAAACCUACAUCCCUAGCUGAGUACCUUCAAGAAUUCAUCUCUGAAGUAAAUGAAUUAGCCAAAGGAUUUGAAUUUGAAGGAGUGAUGUUAACUUUACUACUCUCUUCGAUGGUCUGCGAUGCACCUGCCCGUGCAUUCCUGAAAAAUGUUAAAGGUCACACAGGCUAUCACGGAUGUGAAAAAUGCACACAGGAUGGUUUGUACCUAGAAAAUAGAAUGACAUUUCCAAGAAUUGACAUGCCUUUAAGAACUAAUGAGAGUUUCAGAAACAAGACAGAUGCUGAUCAUCAUCAUGGUCCAUCACCUCUUGAAGAAACAUCCCUAAACAUGGUCUCUGGUUUCCCCCUCGACUACAUGCACCUUGUGUGCCUCGGAAUCAUGAGACGGCUUCUUCUCUUGUGGCUGAAGAUGGGUCCUCUGACUUGUAGGCUGUCAGGAUUUCAAAUAAACACAUUGUCAGAAAGACUGUUAAAUGCUCGGAGAAAUGUGCCCAUGGAGUUUGCACGGAAACCAAGGGCACUGAGAGAAAUUGAUAGGUGGAAGGCAACAGAGUUCAGGCAGUUUUUACUGUAUACCGGACCUGUCAUGAUGAAAGAUCUUCUUAACACAGAGGUGUACAAAAAUUUCUUGCUACUUUUUGUGGGAAUCUUCAUCCUGUGCAACAACAGUUUGAUUGAAGAAUACUGUGAUUAUGCUAAUGACAUACUGGUGCUCUUUGUCACUCACUUUGGUCAACUGUAUGGUCCACAAUUCUUGUCCUACAAUGCACACUGCCUUGUACAUCUUGCAGAUGAUGCGAAAAAGCAUGGUGUCCUUGACAACUUCAGUGCUUUCAAGUACGAGAAUCACCUAAACAAACUCAAAAGACUUCUGAGGAAACCAACAUGCCCUCUGAGUCAAAUAAUAGAAAGAUUCUCAGAAAUGCAAAGAUGCUGCAAAAAAACUCACAAAACCAGGCCACAUCUGCUCAAAAAAACCACAUGCGACUGGUCCUCUACCUGCAUCCCUUCAUGA
ensembl:lncRNA